rnacentral:rRNA from 1 species
UGGGGAAUUUUGGACAAUGGGGGAAACCCUGAUCCAGCCAUCCCGCGUGUGCGAUGAAGGCCUUCGGGUUGUAAAGCACUUUUGGCAGGAAAGAAACGUCAUGGGUUAAUACCCCGUGAAACUGACGGUACCUGCAGAAUAAGCACCGGCUAACUACGUGCCAGCAGCCGCGGUAAUACGUAGGGUGCAAGCGUUAAUCGGAAUUACUGGGCGUAAAGCGUGCGCAGGCGGUUCGGAAAGAAAGAUGUGAAAUCCCAGAGCUCAACUUUGGAACUGGAAUUUUAAAGACCCGGGUAGGGGGGGGCAGAGGGAGGGGGAAUUCCGGGUGUAGCAGUGAAAUGCGGAGAUAUGCGGAGGAAAACCGAUGGCGAAGGCAGCCGCCUGGGAUAACACUGAAGCUUAUGCACGAAAGCGUGGGGAGCAAACAGG